rnacentral:rRNA from 1 species
GACGAAGGGGGCUAGCGUUGUUCGGAAUUACUGGGCGUAAAGCGCGUGUAGGCGGUUGCCCAAGUCGGGUGUGAAAGCCUUGAGCUCAACUCAAGAAAUGCACUCGGUACUGGGUGACUAGAGGACCGGAGAGGAUAGUGGAAUUCCCAGUGUAGUGGUGAAAUACGUAGAGAUUGGGAAGAACACCAGUGGCGAAAGGCGACUACCUGGCCUGUUCUUGACGCUGAGGCGCGAAAGCUAGGGGAGCAAACGGG